ensembl:lncRNA
CCUACCUGUUCUAAUCCUAACAUAAAGUAUGAGAUUUCUUAAAUCUUUACUUUGGAGUCUCAUCCAAGACUUCUUAACUCUAGAAUAUAUGCUAAACAACACACUUAGUUAAAAGACAGUUGGGGGGGGGUUCUAUUGUGGCUCAGCAGUUAAUAAACCCUAUUAGUAUCCAUGAGGAUGGGAGGGUUCGAUCCCUGGCCUUGCUCAGUGUGUUAAGGUUCUGGCAUUGCCGUGAGCUGUGGUGUAGGUUGCAGACGUGGCUCUGAUCUAGCGUUGCUGUGGCUGUGCCAUAGGCCAGCAGCUGCAGCUUCAAUUCAACCCCUAGCCUGAGAACCUCCAUAUACCGCAGGUGCUGCCCUAAAAAGAUAACAACAAAAAGACCAUAGGGCAGACAGAAGCUGGCCCAUCAAUCAACAGGCACAAGAAGCUUGAAUAUAGUAAUAAAGGCAUCUCAAAUUGGGACUUUCUAUAUAAAGGUAACAGUCCCUGAACUCCAUUUUCAAUAGAUUGAGCAACUUGGGAAUGAAACAGAGAAGUGGCAAAGGAACAAUUUUUUUCAAAGUCACUGCUAAUAACUACAGUGCCUGCCAGAUAGGGCUGCGUAAUAGAGCUGCAGCUACCCCCAACUCUGAGGACACUUGAUAAAUGACAAAAACCUUGUCCCCUGAUUCCUAUAGGAUGUGUAUCCUUCCCUCUAUGCUGCCCCAGAUACCUCCCCUGCUGCUCAUCAGCCUUACACCACAUCUCCUAUACCAUAAGAAACCAUCCCUUCCCUAAUGCUUUGGUGGCCUAAAUGACAGCCACAAAUGGUCCCUCUCCAUUUACUUUAACUCACCCAGAGCAUACAUAAUCACUGGCCCUCAAAAUACACAGAACCAGGGCCAACACUAAGGGGGCACAGGUGAGGCUGAAAUCGACCAAGGGCAUGGGGUGAUGUGAAGAUAGCUGCUGAGACCAUUAUUUCUUCUUGGACUAAUGCUUGAUUUCUUUAAAGCACUAUGCAGUCUUUUCUUCUUUGAAACCAAUUCCAAAUGGGUCUUCCAUCCCUUCCCUUCUUCCCCUCUUGCCCCAAAUCCUCAGGUCCCUCACCCCUAGCUAUCUCCAUUACCUAGUAACUUUCAAAUAGAACUCCUAAUAGCAUCAACCUGUAUGACAGGAAAUUCUGACUAUCCCACACCCACUCCCUGUUUCCCUCUUGUUUCUUAAUAGAUGAGAAGCCAAGACUCUGAAUCCCUUAAACAUCAAAAGCAAAAGUAUUAGAAAGGCUCAUCAUGAAGUUUGCUUCAGUUUUCAAUCUAGCCUAAGAUGACAGGUUGGACAAGCCACCCACCCCCAACCUUCAGAUCAGUACACACACAGAAACCAACAGUGACUAAUCAGGCAACCUGUCUAUUCAGCUUUAAUACUGUACAGAAUAUGGACUUGUAUUCCUAAUCUUAAACCACAUACAUCUUCCCUUGUGGCUCAGGAGGGGUACUGUCCAACCCAGAACAACUCUGGUGGUAUGUGAUGGCCUCAAAGAACUCAACAUCAACCAUUUUCUGAGAUGCACCAGCUCUUCUGAUGCAGUGGCAGGUUGUCAACCAUGUGAAAGUCUAAUAAUACCAAAUAAGCCCUUACCCUACCACCCUGCUCCUUGGAUCUAAAGGCAACUCCUAGGUUCUUCCUCAACUCACCUUACAGUUUGGUGUGAGGACACAUCAGGCAUCUAACAGCAGGAUAAAUGUAAGUGAUUAUGUAUAGGUUCCUAUAUUUGGCAUUUCUCAGGGGCUAGGGUGAAAUAAGUGACUUCCUAGACAGAUUACACUAAUUCACAGGCACUGUGAAAUGAGAAUUCACUAGUACUAUGGUACAAAGCUAAAGAUGAAUGGAGGAAACCUACAAAAGGUUCCCUAAAUUGCCCUGCUUACCCUCUUAAUAGGUUAGUUCAAAAUCCCUGCUGUUGUGAACACUCAUUUACUUAACAGGUGAGCUGCUACUAAACUAGAACUCAGUCACCUGGGGUUAAAGCCUCACAUGCAGAAGCGGGAAGGCAAGGCACAGAGAAUAAGCCAGAGUCUAAAAACAGAAGCCUUCAACAAGUCAGCCCACCAUACACAACCACCAUUUAUUUGAAAGGUAAAAGGAGAAGUCUUAAAAUGAGACAAAUGAAGGGAUGGAUAUAGACACCAAGGGGCACAUAACUCAUUCUUCAAUGACACUAAAAAGCCUCUCUGGCUCCAGACAUGGACCCCAAAAAGCCAGCACAUGGAAGCACCUAGUAUCAUACCACAAACUCUAGUUGAGUCACUGACGUUCCCGAGCUCCCUGAAGACAAUGAUGAACAGAGACCAUGAUCCCUACCACAUUUAUAAUCCAAAAGGAUAAACAACCCAACGCACCCACCCUGAUCUGCUUUGCUGAGAAAUUUAUAGGUAUUUAUUUAUUGUAUAAGCUUGCUAGCUUUUCCAGGGAGGUGGUUAAAACUCUGAAUAUGAAAGACUGGAGAAGGUUGAGGUGAAAAGGAAGUUAAAAAAAAAAAAAAAGGAGGAGUUCCCGUUGUGGCUCAGUGGAAACAAGUCUGACCGGUACCCAUGGGGAUGUGGGUUCAAUCCCUGGCCUCACUCAGUGGGUUAAGGAUCUGGCAUUGCUGUGAGCUGUGGUGUAGGUCACAGACAUGGCUCAGAUCCCACAUUGCUGUGUCUGUGGCAUAGGCCAGCAGCUGCAGCUUCAAUUCUACCCCUAGCCUGGGAACUUCCAUAU